rnacentral:rRNA from 1 species
AUGGGAGGAAUAAAUGUCAAUAGUAUUUGGAGCAAGAUUUGGAAAUUAUCUUGUCCAGCAAAAGUGAAGAUCUUUAUUUGGCGUACCUUACAUGGAACCCUCCCGUGUCGUGUUACAUUUGCUAAUAGACAUAUGAAAGUUUCGCCCACCUGCCCAUCAUGUUCGAACGGGCAUGAAGAUACUAAACACUUAUUAUUUUUAUGUCAAAAAGCAAAAGAGGCGUGGGAGAAACUAGGAUUGCACGAAGCCAUUAAAAUAGCCUGUGCGGUCGAUCGGGCGGGAGAGGCAGUACUCGAAUUUCUACUUUUUAUGCCCGAACAUGAGCUAUCUACAGUGGGCAUACAGAAUGUUCGCGAACUGAUUGCUAUAACAGCCUGGUAUUUAUGGUGGGAAAGACGUUCGCUAAUCCAUCAGCGGAAGACCCAAGAUGCAUACCAAAUUUCGAUGGGAGCCCAUGCUAUAACGACGAACUAUGUUAUUUCCCAAUCCUCCAAGGCAACAAAUAAAAUAGAGUGA